GUACACUCCUGCGGGAGGCAGCAGUGGGGAAUAUUGGACAAUGGGCGCAAGCCUGAUCCAGCCAUGCCGCGUGAGUGAUGAAGGCCCUAGGGUUGUAAAGCUCUUUCACCGGAGAAGAUAAUGACGGUAUCCGGAGAAGAAGCCCCGGCUAACUUCGUGCCAGCAGCCGCGGUAAUACGAAGGGGGCUAGCGUUGUUCGGAAUUACUGGGCGUAAAGCGCACGUAGGCGGAUCGAUCAGUCAGGGGUGAAAUCCCAGGGCUCAACCCUGGAACUGCCUUUGAUACUGUCGAUCUGGAGUAUGGAAGAGGUGAGUGGAAUUCCGAGUGUAGAGGUGAAAUUCGUAGAUAUUCGGAGGAACACCAGUGGCGAAGGCGGCUCACUGGUCCAUUACUGACGCUGAGGUGCGAAAGCGUGGGGAGCAAACAGGAUUAGAAACCCCUGUAGUCCCAUG
rnacentral:rRNA from 1 species